CUCGGCUUCCGCGGGCGCCGCCGCCGGCCCCAGACAAGCGCCUCCGUCUUUGCGGCUGCGGAGCUUGGGAGGGGAGGCCGGCUGGGGUUUUCAUUCGACGCCCACCAGGGGCUGAGUGAGCCUCCUUUCAGUGCGCAAACUCGGGGCACCAGAUAAAAGCCGGGCUGGCGGCUCCGGCGCUGCUUUGAUGGAGCCGGGAGAACCGAGGGGAGGAAGGAGAAGGAACUGAUGGGCAGGCUAGAGUAGCUCGCUUUUCCCCUCAGCGGGGCUUCCCCGUCGGAGCAGCAGCAGCAGGAGGAGGAGGAAGCGGCGGGAGAGGCUUUGCUGGCUGCCCGGCCGGGACUCAGAGGCGGCGGCUGUAAUAGGGCGCUGGAUACAGUAUUUGUGGAUUCAUAAAACAUUCCCCAGCUGUCCUGAAAUAAUUCCAGCUUUUUCUCAGUUUUAAGGGCGUCUUUGAGCGGUUGUAAAAAUGAAUAAAAGAUCAGCUUCAGCAUCCAAGGAUCGCUACAGUUCCAAUAAGUGUCUUCAGCCACCAUAAUCAAGGAACUGAGCUUGCUUGGAGAGUCCUGUUGGUUGCCAUCCAAAUAAUCUAAAGGCCGUGAAAUUUGGAGAAACUUGGAGCUUUAUCUCCGCUGAACAAAACUCCACAUCGGCAACAGGAAGAGCAUCCGGCCAUUAAAAUGCUCUGCUAGCUCUGUUCAGUUGCCCGGACUCUACCCUGCAAGGGAUUAUAAGGUUAAAUGAUGAUGAUGAUUAAACUUGGAGAAAAAUAGUGUGAGCUUUACAUUCACUAGAUCAGUGAUGACGAAUCUUUUCGGCACUGAGCGCACCGAAGCGCCAUCAACCCGAAGAUCAGCGGGCCAGUGCGCAUGCACGCUCCAGCCACCUGGUCUUCAGGUUUCCGACACACGCAUGCGCACCAGCCAGCUGGUCUUCACACGUGCCAGAGCGCUGGAAACCCGAAGACUAGGUAGCUGGCGCACGCAUGCGCACUGGCCAGCUGGUUUUUGGGUUUCCGGCGCUCCGGUGUGCACAAAGACCAACAGGCCAGCGCUGUUGUGGCUCCGUUACCUGAGCCUGUGUCAUUGGCAGGAGAGGACUCCGAGAGUCAAGUUGGCAAGGCCUCCCUCUCCAGGACCCUCCUCUCUGGCAAUGCCUUCGGUGUCCGCCGAAGGGCAAGAGAUAGGGCCGGGGCCAAGCACGUCCAUGCAGCCACAGAUGGACAGUGAUGAGGGCAAUGAGUCUUGGCUGGAUCCACGCCAGCAUCGCAGAGAUAAGUGUGCGCAACAGAAGAAAAGGUGUGCCCGAGAUUAGGCUGAGUCACUGGACCACACCCCACAGGAUAUAAAAGGGAGCGUGGUGGCCAGUCAAACCUUGUGACGAACAAAGCUGAAAGCUUCCACGCCAUUCUGCAUUGCCGGACUUUUGCUAUAGACUUUGCUGGAUUAUCUCUGGACUUGAUUGACUCUGUAAUUAUUGGGCUGUUUCUUUUGAUGUACCAGAAGUGGGGAGAAGUUAUCUCUCCUCUUCGUAAGUAAUAAACUCUUGGCAGGCAGCCACUAGGUUGUUGCCAAGUUCCGUUAUCAUAAGGAAAAGGAUUUUGCCGGCUGGUUUAGUCUUUAACUCUUGAACGUCUGUUGGUGUAUGUGCGUGUGGGACGGGGACAGAACAGGCACACAUGCGAGUGCCAGAAACCAAAAGAGCAACUGGCAAUGGCACGCAUGCCUACAGAGAGCACUCUGCGUGUCACCUCUGGCACACGUGCUAUAUGUUCGCCAUCACGGCAUUAGACUGUGACAAUUAAUGCGCCUGUCAUUAUUCCCGGUCAUUAUUCAUUUCUGUCCUGUUGUGCAAGUCAAAUUUUGCAGUUACCAAAUUCUGCAAACAGCGGCCAACGUUGUAUGUUAGCUUCUGGCAAGACACAGCACAAAUUAAGUGUCAUUUCAAAAUCUCAAAAGAGUUGUAUGCGGCUUUGCCUGCCCAAAUCUGUUCCUUUGCGAUGGGAUGUUUUGUGUUAAUGAAUUGCAACUCAUUGAACUGGAGAUGGAAUUAAUUUUAUUCGGAAUAGACCCCUCGAUAUUUAUGGAGUUUUGUUUAUCUUAAAAUUCCCUCCCUCUAUUUUAUGUAGACUUAAGCCUGCAUCUAGUGUUGGCGAUUAAUGAUUUCUUUUAAAAAAAUAAACAAUUUUGCUGCUUUACCUAAGAUCGUUGUAAUUGUUGGGACACGGUAAAUGUAAGUUUUUAGCUCUCGUUGCCAUUAUUCGAACUUGCUUUCAUAAUGAUCAGUAGUAGCACUCAAUUAUGCGUUUAUGACUAAGCCUAGCGUAGACAUUGAGUAAAACAAUUGAAAUAUUACAAUCCUGUAGACAGCAAAAAUAAUAAAUAAAUCAAAAUCUUGGAUGUAGCUUAUACUGUACUGAACAAUUUUGAGUCGUCUCCAUUAAGCGGGACUGAAUUAAAACAAUGUUGCCUGACAUUCUUCACUAAUUAUACGUUUGGAUGGAAUUCUUACUAUUCAUUCUUGGAAAUCUUUAAAAGGACAAGCAAUUAAAGGACUAAUUUUGAAAGCUG